rnacentral:rRNA from 1 species
UAGCAUAUCAAUAAGCGGAGGAAAAGAAACCAACAGGGAUUGCCCUAGUAACGGCGAGUGAAGCGGCAACAGCUCAAAUUUGAAAUCUGGCGUCUUCGGCGUCCGAGUUGUAAUUUGUAGAGGAUGCUUCUGGGCAGCCACCGGUCUAAGUUCCUUGGAACAGGACGUCAUAGAGGGUGAGAAUCCCGUAUGUGACCGGAGAGGCGCCCUCCACGUAGCUCCUUCGACGAGUCGAGUUGUUUGGGAAUGCAGCUCUAAAUGGGAGGUAAAUUUCUUCUAAAGCUAAAUAUUGGCCAGAGACCGAUAGCGCACAAGUAGAGUGAUCGAAAGAUGAAAAGCACUUUGGAAAGAGAGUUAAAAAGCACGUGAAAUUGUUGAAAGGGAAGGGAUUGCAACCAGACUUGCUCGCGGUGUUCCGCCGGUCUUCUGACCGGUCUACUCGCCGCGUUGCAGGCCAGCAUCGUCUGGGGCCGACGGAUAAGACUUUGGGAAUGUAGCUCCCUCGGGAGUGUUAUAGCCCUUUGUGAUGCGUCGCGCCCUGGGCGAGGUCCGCGCUUCGGCUAGGAUGCUGGCGUAAUGGUCGUAAUCCGCCCGUCUUGAAACACGGACCAAGGAGUCUAACAUCUAUGCGAGUGUUCGGGUGUCAAACCCCUACGCGUAAUGAAAGUGAACGGAGGUGGGAAGCGCAAGCUGCACCAUCGACCGAUCCUGAUGUCUUCGGAUGGAUUUGAGUAAGAGCAUAGCUGUUGGGACCCGAAAGAUGGUGAACUAUGCCUGAAUAGGGUGAAGCCAGAGGAAACUCUGGUGGAGGCUCGCAGCGGUUCUGACGUGCAAAUCGAUCGUCAAAUUUGGGUAUAGGGGCGAAAGACUAAUCGAACCAUCUAGUAGCUGGUUCCUGCGA